AUUGAACGCUGGCGGCAUGCCUUACACAUGCAAGUCGAACGGUAACGCGGGGCAACCUGGCGACGAGUGGCGAACGGGUGAGUAAUGUAUCGGAACGUGCCCAGUUGUGGGGGAUAACUGCUCGAAAGAGCAGCUAAUACCGCAUACGACCUGAGGGUGAAAGCGGGGGAUCGCAAGACCUCGCGCAGUUGGAGCGGCCGAUAUCAGAUUAGGUAGUUGGUGGGGUAAAGGCUCACCAAGCCAACGAUCUGUAGCUGGUCUGAGAGGACGACCAGCCACACUGGGACUGAGACACGGCCCAGACUCCUACGGGAGGCAGCAGUGGGGAAUUUUGGACAAUGGGGGCAACCCUGAUCCAGCCAUGCCGCGUGCGGGAAGAAGGCCUUCGGGUUGUAAACCGCUUUUGUCAGGGAAGAAAAGACUCCUGUUAAUACCGGGGGUUCAUGACGGUACCUGAAGAAUAAGCACCGGCUAACUACGUGCCAGCAGCCGCCGCGG
rnacentral:rRNA from 1 species